ensembl:snRNA U2 U2 spliceosomal RNA
AUCAUUUCUCUGCCUUUUGGCUAAGAUCAAGUGUAGUAUCUAAUACUGAUUUGUGUUACCUUUCAUGUUUGCACAGUUUGACUUAAUAUAGAUAUUAGUAAAGGUCAGUUUAUUUCCU